ensembl:lncRNA
GCUGCACCCAAGGCAUAUGGAGGCUUCCAGGCUAGGGGCCUAAUUGGAGCUAGAGCUGCCAGCCUAUGCCAGACCCACAGCAACGACAGACGCAAGCUUCAUCUGUGACCUACACCAUAGCUCAUGGCAACAGCGGAUCCUUAACCCACUGAGUGAGGCCAGGGAUUGAACCCACAUCCUCAUGGAUACUAGUCAGGUUCUUGAGCCACUGAGCCACCACAGGAACUCCCUAUUUUGAUUUGAUUUUAAUUUUUUUCCUAUUUUGAUUUUAAAAGAAGAAUCUUUGCCUUCUGAUAUCCUCAGAUACCACCUACAAGAAAAAACUGCAUAGCUAACAUUAAGGCCAGGCAAGUUUCUUCUUAUUUGUUCUUCAAAGUUGGUAGAGUUCCCCUAAACUGGCACCAUGUUAUCUGCACUCUCUAUAUACCUUGAAAUGGAGGCCGUACAUGUCUUAUCAAAAGCCUGGCUGAAAAAAUCCUUUGUGGGGAAUGUCUGAAGAUCAUCCCAACCAUUCAUCUAUGGGUUUUAAUUUGAAACCAAUCCGGACCAUCAAAAAUCUAUACUUUUGGACAAUCUUUGUCUGCGCGAAGCUGCUUGCGCUGAGUUUCAUGUUGGCAUUAUCCUGGUAAUUUCUAAAGGAAACAGUCAUAUGAAUUCCUUUACAGCUCACCCUUGAACAACAUAGGUUUGAACUACGCAGGUCAUUUUAUGCAGAUUUUUGUUCAACACACACAGGUCUACAUGAUCUGAGAUUGGCUGAAUCUGAGGAUGUGGAACCAUGACUACAGAGAGCUGGCCAGGGGACUUGAGCAUCUGUGGAUUUUGGAAUCCACAGCAGGUCCUAGGACCAAUCCCCUGGGGAUAUCAAGGGACACCUGUACUUUGUUUCCUAUUAGGAACGUUGCUGAAAACACUGUCUACAUAUCUCUGUGUCCUUUAUAUGAAAGGCUACAAGAGAACUUUUAAUAGUUAAUGGGGAAAAAAUUGCCUCCCCAGAUGAGUUAUGGACAUUUUGCUUUUGUUUUGGCAAUACUGCCAUGAAGUAUAUAAUGUUUGGCUUCAUUUAUAUACUCUAGAGCAAGUAAAACUAUAGUAGAAAGAAACCUCUACCAAGGGUUACCUCUAAAGUUAGAAGGUGAGGAUGGAGGACUGACUGCAAGAGACAUGAUGAAACUUUCCAGGGUUAUGGCAAUGUGCUCUGUCAAGAUUUCUCAAAAGUGGCACCAUUGACAAAGAACUGUGACUGGACUCUACCCACUAGAUGUCAGCACUACCUCGUCCUGCCCAGCUUGGACAACCAAAAACAUCUCCAGACACCGCCAAAUAUCCCCUUUGAGCCAAAACUAUCCCUAAAUGAAUACAACUGUCCCAUUUCUUGACAGAGUUUGGCUUACACAGGUGUAUGCAUUUGUCAAAACUCAAAGAACAUACACUUGAAAGCUGUGUAUAGCACUGUAUGUGUAUUUUAGCUUAAAACAGACUGUAAACAAUGAACUCUGGUUAAUGAUAUGCAUGCUGAAGUUUUUAGUGUAUAAAAGUGUAGAUACUUGUGCAGGCAUCUGCUAAUGCAAGUAUAAUAAAAUGCUAAUGGCACAAUCUAAGCGGUGGGUAUAUAGGCAAUCUAUAAAAUUAUUUCAACUUUUCUGUAUGUUUGAAAAUGUUCAUAAUAAAAUGUUGGGCUAUCCUCACACAUUUCAUCCCAUAUUCUCAUCCACUACAUAAAUGAGAAGACACCCAAUGGCACUAGCUCAGAAACUCAGGGGUAAGUGUGUACUAAAAAGUAUCAGCUGUAAGCACCGAGAGCUUAGAAAGAGUCACAAGCUACACCACUGCAUUGGGUCUUGAUGGCUUUCUGGAAAAGAAGCAAUACUCUACCACCAUCACUAGUAAGUUACAUUUGCAAACUCAUGCCUCCCAAAGGCAGUGAAACAGGUUAUUUCCUAUAGAUUUAAGCAUUAGUGUAUAUAAGGCCUACAACUCUCUUGGUAGACCAGUGCCACCGAAAGCACAAAUCACACACCAGUGACAGUCAGUGAACUAUCUGUUACGGACCUGUGAUGAGAUCAGUUCAAAAACUGAGAGGAAGGGCUUAGAAGCUUCUAUAGACCUUUGACAUUGCCAUGACAUCAAAGCACAUGAUUAGUGGGUUUGUCUUGUUGAAGAGAAUACAGACAGAUCCAAGUGUUAUCAAACUUACAUGGCAAAUUGCAUCUGCCAUGACGUGUGCUAGUGAAGCACAGCAGAACCAAGUUACAGGUAAUUUUUUUUUUUGGCUGCACCCACAGUGUGUGGAAGUUUCCCAGCCAGGCAUCCAACCUGAACUGCUGAAGUGAUGAAGCAUCCUUAACCUGCUAUACCACAAGAGAACUCCUACAGGAGAUAUUUUAAGGUUAUUUUGUUAACUACCUAGAAGUGUGUAAAAACCUGAGAAAAUACAUAGGUUUACUCAUUUUCAUAAGUAGUUAAUUUUAUAAACAUUUUAAUCUUAAUCAUGCCUGCUUUUUAAUUUAUAAUUAACACCAUUAGCUAAAUUAGAGAAGUGAAACUUUUAACCAAAUUUCCAGGUGGACAAACAAGCUUCAAUGGAUUUUUCAGCAUCAUUUUAGUGAAAAAGUUACCUUUUUUUUUUUUUUUUUUUUUGGCUGCACCUGCAGCAUGUAGAAGUUCCCUGGCCAGGAAUUGAACCUGAGCCACAGUAGUGACAACACCAGAUCCUUAACCACUAGGCCACUAGGAACUCCAAGACACAUCUUUUUUGAAUGCACCAGCAGCAGAAGACCAAAUGACAGAAAGGAAGUGAUUCUAAACAGAUGAAGACCAAAAGAGGACUGCUUUCACUCAGGA